rnacentral:rRNA from 1 species
UACGGGGGGGGCAAGCGUUGUUCGGAAUUACUGGGCGUAAAGGGCUCGUAGGCGGCCAACUAAGUCGGACGUGAAAUCCCCAGGCUCAACCUGGGAACUGCGUCCGAUACUGGAUGGCUUGAAUCCGGGAGAGGGAUGCAGAAUUCCCGGUGUAGCGGUGAAAUGCGCAGAUAUCGGGAGGAACACCGGUGGCGAAGGCGGUUCUCUGGGCCUGUACUGACGCUGAGGAGCGAAAGCGUGGGGAGCGAACAGG